rnacentral:tRNA from 1 species
AUUUGUCUAGCUUAGUCGGUGAAACACAAGGCUCUUAACUUUGUGGUGGUGUGUUCGAGCCACACGAUGGGUG